rnacentral:rRNA from 1 species
CACGUAGGCAGCAAGCGUUGUUCGGAAUUACUGGGCGUAAAGAGUGUGUAGGCGGUGCUCUAAGUCUGUUGUGAAAUCUCCCGGCUUAACUGGGAGGGUGCAGCGGAAACUGGAAUGCUCGAGUAUGGGAGAGGUAAGCGGAAUUCCUGGUGUAGCGGUGAAAUGCGUAGAUAUCAGGAGGAACACCUGUGGUGUAGACAGCUUACUGGACCAUCACUGACGCUGAGACACGAAAGCGUGGGUAGCAAACAGG